rnacentral:lncRNA from 1 species
GACCUUUGAGGCCUCCCUUGCCUUCUGGCAUCUACUUGAGUUUGGCCACUGGAGGACAGUGGUGGGAGAUCAGAGGAUGGGAAGAGAGAGAGGUCAAGGCAUUUGUUCCUCCUGCUCACUCCCUGCUUUGACAUAUGUGGUGAAGUGGUGAGCUCCAGGGAGCCACAGAACCAGCCCACAAAGACCAAAGAGCCAGCCCGCCCACCCGUGGUCUAAGCAACAGGAAUUCUCACGCUCCCUUGCGGUCCAGUGACUUCACUUGGAGGCGUCCAGAUCAGGACUCAGCGUCAAAGGCCGAGGCUUCAGGAGACUGAGGUGGGAGUGUCUUCUUGCACCUCUUCCAUGGGCUACCACGGAAACUUCCUGCCUCCAGAAAUUCCAGAUGACAAGCGG